AUUAAGUUUUUAAUAUUUGUAUUAAUAUUACCAUGGUUUUUUUUUUGUCUGCGUUAUUUUCACUUUGAAUAUCCACUGAAGAAACCAGAAGUGAGCUGGGUGUGAUGGCACACAGCUGUCAGUUCAGCACUUCAGUGGCUGAGGCUGGAAAAUGGAGAGUUCUAGGCUUGCCUGGCCAACAUAGCAAGUUCCAGGUCAGCCUGGGCUAUAAGCAAAACCUUGUCUUAAAAAAAAAUUAAAAAAUAAAAAGAAGAGGAGAAAAAUCAGAGGAAGUUUGUUCCUUUAAGAAAAGGCAUACCGUUCUACCCCUGGGGACUACUUAGCAAUCAUCAGUUUGCUGUUUGCCUCCUGAGGGUAAAGCUCUGGAAGCCAGUUGGCCAACUCUGGACUCAUCACAGCUUGCCUUGCUUUUCUGAUCUUUCCGAUCCUUUCAGUUUACAGUGAUGUUGGGUCCCUGCUGAGCAAAUGUCCAAAGGCCUUUUUUGAGGCUGGGGCACUGCCUUUGGCCAGCAGCUCUCAGGAUCUGGGAACUUUUGCCAAAGGCCCCUCAGAAGAUUUUGAGGUCCCAUCUGCUGUAGCUGCAGUUGUGUUUAGGUGAGCCCAAGAUAAGAGGUAUCCUGUAUGGACUACACCUAAAUGGAUCAUGCUAGUGGAUCAUGUGAUCCUUGCCCAUCAAAUUAAGAAAGCUAGGCCUUGAGCAAUGAAAGAGUGGACAAUUAGUUGUUUUUUUUUUUAAAGGGGAUUUAUUUAUUAUAUGUAAGUACACUGUAGCUGUCUUCAAACAUCUCAGAAGAGGGCAUCAGAUCUCAUUGCAGAUGGUUGUUAGCCACCAUGUGGUUGCUGGGAUUUGAACUCUGGAUCUUCAGAAGAGCAGUCAGUGCCCUUAACUGCUGAGCCAUCUAUCCAACCCAGACAAUUAGUCUUAAUCUCCCUAAAUACCUGAUAACGGGGAGGUACUCAAGUGUGGACUGAGGUGGUACUCUGUGUCUUUCCAGUGUUUUCUAGGAUAACAGUCAUUAGUCCAACUCUUCUGAGUCUAUAAAAAUCAACGUGCAGAAAGCAAGUACCAUAGACGCUUUCAAGGUGACCAGUUUAAUACCACAGUAAUAAGAAAG
rnacentral:lncRNA from 1 species